AGCGAACGCUGGCGGCAGGCCUAACACAUGCAAGUCGAGCGGAUGGGUGGAGCUUGCUCCAUGAUUCAGCGGCGGACGGGUGAGUAAUGCCUAGGAAUCUGCCUGGUAGUGGGGGACAACGUUUCGAAAGGAACGCUAAUACCGCAUACGUCCUACGGGAGAAAGUGGGGGAUCUUCGGACCUCACGCUAUCAGAUGAGCCUAGGUCGGAUUAGCUAGUUGGUGAGGUAAAGGCUCACCAAGGCGACGAUCCGUAACUGGUCUGAGAGGAUGAUCAGUCACACUGGAACGGGGACACGGUCCAGACUCCUACGGGAGGCAGCAGUGGGGAAUAUUGGACAAUGGGCGAAAGCCUGAUCCAGCCAUGCCGCGUGUGUGAAGAAGGUCUUCGGAUUGUAAAGCACUUUAAGUUGGGAGGAAGGGCAGUAAGUUAAUACCUUGCUGUUUUGACGUUACCAACAGAAUAAGCACCGGCUAACUUCGUGCCAGCAGCCGCCGUAAAAC
rnacentral:rRNA from 1 species